CCCUUAGAUGUCCGGGGCUGCACGCGCGCUACACUGUAGAAAGCAGCGUGCUUUAAAACCUUUCCUGAAAAGGAUGGGUAACCCCAGCAAAAUUCUACGUGCUUGGGAUAGAGAUUUGCAAUUUUCUCUCUUGAACGAGGAAUUCCCAGUAAGUGCGAGUCAUCAGCUCGCGUUGAUUACGUCCCUGCCCUUUGUACACGCCGCCCGUCGCUACUACCGAUUGGGAAAAUUUUAGAGAGUCCUGGACUGAUGAUUGUUCGGCUUCACGGCCUUACUUUCGUCGGGAAAGAAUUCGAUAAUAUUUUUCUAGAGGAAGUAAAAGUCGUAACA
rnacentral:rRNA from 1 species